GGGGACGUAGCUCAGUUGGUAGAGCAACGGACUUUUAAUCCGCAGGUCCGGGGUUCGAGUCCCCGCGUCCCCA
rnacentral:tRNA from 1 species